UGAAGCUGGUGGCAAAAAUCCAUUUGAGACCAGAGGACUUAACCUCUGCUGGUAUUCCACGGGAAUUUGAAGGCAGAAGCAUGGGGGCACCAGGGAUCGAUGCUUCGAAAAGGCAAGAUCUAUCACACCCUGUUAUGAGAAAUUGCCACAGUUAAUAAAUUAUUUUAUAUUUAUUAAAUAUUAAACUAAUAGGAAAAGGCCCUCCCACUAGUGCUUCAAGCUCCAAUGGAGGGGCAAGGGAGGGGAGCCCGGUAAAAAUGAAGUGAAUGGUGCAAUAGGGGCAUUUUUAUGCCGCAAUUGCACUUCACCUUUAAAAAGAAACAGUUGUGAAAUAAUAGCUUGAGAAUAACACUCACUCCUUAACGCUCAACUGCUAGAGGAACAAUGGUCACAAUCAACAAUAGUGUAGAAGGAUGCAUGCAUUAACUAUAGGAAAGGAAGAGACUACAGAAAAUAUACCUGGAGACGAUUAAGCACAUAAGUGUAUUUUCCCCACAGCUCUGGUCGGCUUUCCAUCAGCGAAAGAUCAAGAAUUCGGUGAAUGCACCACACUCCAAAGCUUAUUAUCAGAUCGGCUUUC
rnacentral:lncRNA from 1 species